rnacentral:rRNA from 1 species
AUACGGAGGGGGCGAGCGUUAUUCGGAAUCACUGGGCGUAAAGCGUGCGUAGGCGGCUUAGCAAGUCAGAAGUGGAAUCCCAGGGCUCAACCCUGGAACUGCUUUUGAAACUGCUUCGCUAGAAUAUUGGAGAGGUCAGGAGAAUUCCUAGUGUAGAGGUGAAAUUCGUAGAUAUUAGGAGGAAUACCAGUGGCGUAGGCGCCUGACUGGACAAUUAUUGACGCUGAGGUACGAAAGUGUGGGGAGCGAACAGGAUUAGAUACCCUGGUAGUCCACACCGUAAACGAUGUGAACUAGCCGUCGGGCCCUUGAGGUUCGGUGGCGCAGCUAACGCAAUAAGUUCACCGCCUGGGAAGUACGGCCGCAAGGUUAAA